AACUGAAACAGCUGACUGACUGGCAGCCAUGCCAGACAAUCUGGGACCAAAACGAAAAGAACAACAACAACAGCUAGGCGAACUGAGCAGAAGCAAACCAGAACAAUUCUCUGGCCGGUUGCCUUACCAAUGCUCAAGCCCAAAACACAAUUGGGCCAAGUCCGGGGAAGCUGUUGACAAUUUGAAUGGCGCUGCCGGCAGAAGACCAAGAAGAAAAACAGGGCGAGUUCUCAAAUCAAAGUUGCCGAGAGAACAAAACAUGGCCAAGAAAAAUGAGUUGUGUUGAGCGCCUGCUGAAAAAUAAUGAACGUCAUGCGGCGUUGACGCCGGCGGCGACUGAGACAGCAGCAGAGACGUCGACGGCAACUGCGACGCUCUGAUAAAUUUGCCAAAAAAUUUAUAGGGGCAACAGUUGUUGGUGCCAUAAUAGCCUCAGGCUAUAAAUUUGACGACUCAUGUGGAUACGGAUAAAUAUAUAUAAAAAAUAUAUAAAUAAAUAUAUAACAGUA